UUCCUCUGCCAUCUCCAGUGCUGAUCUUUUUGGCAACAGUUCAGAUUCUGCUUUGGACAUUUCUGCAAGUGACCUCAUCAACAGGCUCUCUUUCCAGGCUCAGCAGGAUAUCUCUUCCCUUAAGAACAUCGCGGGAGAGACUGGAAAGAAUAAGUUCCUUUGCGUCCUCCUUCAUAAAUGAUCUCCAAGACAGAGUCCUCUAAUUUGCAGGUCCUCUUGGUCCCGGAGAAGUGAAGUCCGACCCAUCAUCGCCCGAUUAUGUAAUGGAUGUGAAGGAGAGCUUUUAAGAAAUUCUUUUCAGGAGACAAAUAAAGAAUUUACUUUGAUCUAAGACAGUUUGAGAGUAUUUUGUAGCACGGGUAUUGCCUUAAAGAAUGAUAUGUCGCCUUUUUGUCAGUUACACAACUGAGCUUUUUGUCGAGCCUCAUACUAUUGUGCAUUGGCUUGAUAACAAGUUUCUGAUAAAGCAUUGCCCAUAGGUAGCGAUUUGCUCAA